UUCUUUCGUAAUGCAAAAGUUUUACGAUGUAAUUAUCGAAGCUUGUUCCUAUUCAUUUAGUUCGAAGGUAUAUCGAUGGGUUGAGUUCCAGAAAUUAGAUUGAUGGAGAACUCAAUUCCUUGUCUAGGUGGCAGCUCUGAUAGUUCCCUGGGAAAGAUGUAUGGAAAGUCUCUAAUGAUAGGGAUGGUAUGUGGUGAUGGAUCAAGAUCU
rnacentral:lncRNA from 1 species